UGGGGAAUUUUGGACAACGGGGGAAACCCUGAUCCAGCCAUCCCGCGUGUCCGAUGAAGGCCUUCGGGUUGUAAAGCACUUUUGGCAGGAAAGAAACGUCAUGGGUUAAUACCCCGUGAAACUGACGGUACCUGCAGAAUAAGCACCGGCUAACUACGUGCCAGCAGCCGCGGUAAUACGUAGGGUGCAAGCGUUAAUCGGAAUUACUGGGCGUAAAGCGUGCGCAGGCGGUUCAGAAAGAAAGAUGUGAAAUCCCAGAGCUCAACUUUGGAACUGCAUUUUUAACUACCGAGCUAGGGUGUGUCAGAGGGAGGUGGAAUUCCGCGUGUAGCAGUGAAAUGCGUGGAUAUGCGGAGGAACACCGAUGGCGAAGGCACCCUCCUGGGAUAACACUGACGAUCAUGCACGAAAGCGUGGGGAGCAAACAGG
rnacentral:rRNA from 1 species